UACGGGGGGGAGCAAGCGUUGUUCGGAUUUACUGGGCGUAAAGGGCGCGUAGGCGGCCUGUGCAAGUCAGUUGUGAAAUCUCCGGGCUUAACUCGGAACGGUCAACUGAUACUGCUCGGCUAGAGUGCGGAAGGGGCAACUGGAAUUCUUGGUGUAGCGGUGAAAUGCGUAGAUAUCAAGAGGGAACACCUGCGGCGAAGGCGGGUUGCUGGGCCGACACUGACGCUGAAGUGCGAAAGCUAGGGGAGCGAACGGG
rnacentral:rRNA from 1 species